GAUGAACGCUGGCGGCGUGCCUAAUACAUGCAAGUCGAGCGAACAGACGAGGAGCUUGCUCCUCUGAUGUUAGCGGCGGACGGGUGAGUAACACGUGGAUAACCUACCUAUAAGACUGGGAUAACUUCGGGAAACCGGAGCUAAUACCGGAUAACAUGUUGAACCGCAUGGUUCAACAGUGAAAGACGGUCUUGCUGUCACUUAUAGAUGGAUCCGCGCCGCAUUAGCUAGUUGGUAAGGUAACGGCUUACCAAGGCAACGAUGCGUAGCCGACCUGAGAGGGUGAUCGGCCACACUGGAACUGAGACACGGUCCAGACUCCUACGGGAGGCAGCAGUAGGGAAUCUGCCGCAAUGGGCGAAAGCCUGACGGAGCAACGCCGCGUGAGUGAAGAAGGUCUUCGGAUCGUAAAACUCUGUUAUUAGGGAAGAACAAAUGUGUAAGUAACUAUGCACGUCUUGACGGUACCUAAUCAGAAAGCCACGGCUAACUACGUG
rnacentral:rRNA from 1 species